CUUUGCACUUUACCGAAUCUAGGUCAAAUAGAUGGGAUAUUAAUAAUAACCAGUCCUGUGUGAAAUCUAGAGGUUAUUUUUAACAGUAAAUUCAGUUUGUGGAAUCCUACAAAGCCUGUGUUUCUUUUAAAUAGCCUCUCACACAAGACAAGAUAUGGACCAGAGCUUCCUAGACUUGUGUAGACACUCAAAACUGACAUGGGACUCUUCAUCCCUGCCACGUGCCUUGCUCUGUAGCAGUUCUAGACAACGCAGGUGCAGAAAGAAGUAGAGGUUUAAAGACUGCGGUUCUCCUUAUCCAUGUUUAAUGAGAUUUCUUUCUACCCCCAAAGAAAUUCAGUAAGUGAAGGAGGCUCUGCUAUCUGCCUCAUAUGAGGGUAAGUGCAAAUGAAGACAUAGGGUGGUUUUCCUUAGAUCCAAGAAGGACGCAAGAUCCUGUGCUGACCCAGCCAGGAGGCAGCUGAGCUAAAAGGUGUUGGGGCAGCACUGAGUUCAGCCACACCGCCUCAACACAUCUAAAAGCUAGGCCUUGCAGGAAUAAUAAAUCAAUGAAGAUGUUUUAGCUUGUGUGAGCUGAAACAAAAUAAGAAAUGUGGAAAUACAUUUGUGCACUGGAGCUGAUUUGCUUUUCUGAAAGGUACUAGAAGCUUUGGUGACGCUGUUCAUUUUUACUGCAACCUGCUCUAUAAUUUGCUAAUAGAUGAUGUUUAAGAAAAUGAAGGAGUGAAUCUCUCGCUGUGUUUGGCUCUUGUGAAUCACCUGGCUGGUGCCACACAAACUGAAACCAGCUGGCUACGGGGUGCUGCCAGCCCAGCAGAGCCCAGGGGGCCUCAGCAGUGGCUGACCCACAGGUGCUGCCCAGCCGUGUACAGUGGCUGUAUCACCUCGGCACACCUUUGCACAGGUUUACUAUUCCCUGUGCAUGCAGCAAGUCCUGCAUUGCCUGGCCUUCUAUGUGAAUUUAGGGCAGGUUUAUUUCUGCACUCAACAGAUAAUGUUCUUGUAUCAGGUGUCUGACUAACAGCCCUAGUGAAUGCCUCUAAAGCUUCUGGCCCAGAUGAUUUAAAAAACCCAGCAAUCCCCUAUACAGCAAAUGAAUGUAGAAACCAAGAGCAGGACAAAUGACAGCAUAUAGAAAUGGGCAGUUAGAAUGUGAUAGGUAGGAACGGUAUUUCUUAAUACCAUUUUCGUUGAAAAUGUAAAAAUUUGGGAGGGAGAGAUGGAGGACAAAGAUGAAGAGUUACGUUUGCUUUGAAAAAGAAAUUACUUCACAAUCUGCUGGAGGAUUUUGUUAAAUGUUUUUUUAAGUGAAACCUUGUAGUAAAUGAGUAUGUCCCAUCUGAUGCCCCUCCAAUUCAUGCUUUUUUUUUCAUCUUGUAGAAGUCAUGUAACUGGGAGCUCCAGUGGCUUGUUGAAAAGCCAAGAAGGCCUUUUACAAGGAGGAGGACUUUUUUUCUGGACAUGCAUAUGGGCACUGUAAAUCCAGGCAGACUUAAUGAAACCAAACAUAAGCUGAUGUCUGCUCUCUGCAGUGCAAAGGUUUGGGGCACACUCUUUGUAUCUUAUUGUUGUAAUGCAAAAGUCUAGCGAAACAGAAAAGGCAUGGGGAAGUCAGAAGUGUGAUCCCUCUACUACUGUGUCAAUUUAUUGGCGUCUAAUGAGAAUUGCUCUUUUUUUCCCUCCUCCAGAAUUCCCCAAUCUUGCAGUGAGUGGAGCGCCACUGUGCUGGUGUGCGUUUUGAUGACACCUAGUGGCAAAAUUGGAAUAAUGCGCCAGAAAUAGAAAGCACACAUGGGUGAAAUCAAUGUUAUUGAAACUAAAGGAAAAUGAGAUCCAGAGGGAGUACAACGGGAAGUAGAAGCUAACAGCAAGCAGUGGAAAAUAAUGUUAUGAAUGAAAUGGAGAAGCUUGACGACAUUAUAUUAAGAAACAUGACCAGCUCGGAGAAAUGUAUUACAUAUCUUUAUAAAGUGUUCCAUACAAAGGAGCUAUAAUGGGCUCUACAGGAGAGGUUACUGUCUAUUUAAAAACAACUUUAAACAGCAGUAAGUUCUGAAGAGGUUCUUUCAAGUCUGGCAUUAGGCUUCAAAAUCAGAUUGAACCCAAUAAAUGGUUUUAUGAAGACCAGAUCCUCUGCUGUUCCAUUGCCACCUCUCCAAAUGGCUCUUCACUUACAGGAAAGAAAAGUCUUACUGGUUGCUAAGUAACUGUAGAAGUAUUGCUGCAGAUGUGUGAGCUUAUAGUAUCUGAUAACAGAGUGACUCAGCUGAAGAACUUUGCACCUCUACACAGUAUUGUCAACACUGUGGUAUUAUUCUAAAAUAGAAAAAUAGAAAUCACAAAACCCCAUUUAAGACCCAUGCCCUGAAUCUUCAGGACUCUCAGCUCUCAAUGAAAGGGACAAUAAUGGGCAGAGAGCUGAACCAUCUGCCUAAACUAUUCACCCAGAAUUCCUGAUGGGGUAAAACCACACAGAAUAAAGUGCUCUCUGCUUUUAAUUAUUGGCAUACAGGGAAAAGUCAGCCAUCAGAAAGCUUCAUUUGCAUCAACUUUCAACUCAACACUCCUCUACUGAUGAUUUUGCGUUAUCGAAACAGGAAGCAAAAUAAAAACUGGUUUGGAUAGUGAAGAUGAACCUAAUGUAAUUGAGUUCAUUUUGGAGUGCUUCUUCAGAAGGACUCUCCAGACAAAGUGAAGUUUCUUCCAGAAGCUGAAGAGUGAUAGCAAAUUUGGAUUAGCUCCAUGAGUGUCGCCUAUUUCCCAGAGCUGAACAGAGCUGAAAUGGCCACCAUUAGCUAAACUGACAGGCAGAGUUGGGCAGAGUUCCCGAAUGGCCGAAGCGUCUCUGCAAGCCCUCUUGGAUGGUUCUCCAUAAUGAAAUCCACACAACAGCUGGAGAAGUGAUGGCUAACAGCAUAUAUGCCUGCUGUGUGCUCUUUCCAACAAAUGCAAUCCUGAUGUCUGUGGCCUGACGGGAAGAGUUGCUGUCCUGCCAGAAAAGGAGAACAACUCAUUGACAUCUGGCAGCAGGAAGGGAACAAAGGGUCUGCUAGAGAUGCAUAGCUUGCUCCUGGUGUUACAGGUGAGAUAUUUCCCUUUAUAAUAAGCAGACACAUCAUAAUGUGACUGAAAUUCUGUAGUUGCAAUACUGAGUGUACAUCUGGUCAAAUCCGCUCACAUAAAUAUCAUUUGGAGUGCAGAAGUUGUAGACUGACAAGGCAGGGUAAAAAGGUCUAUUUAAUGUCUCCUUUGAGCAGCAAAGACCCCUGUGCAGCCCUGUGUGUCACACAGGCUUUUGCUAGAGAGCAGAGGGAACGAGGAGCAGGCACUCUUAGCAGAGCUGCAGUAUUUACUCACAUGAGCUGGGAGCUGCAAAGGCUCUUUGGACCAACUGGGCAGCCAAGGCAAGUGGCUGGAGGCACCAAAAGAGAAAGCAAAUGAUUAUAGGCAUUGGACCCACGAAGAUUUAGGAGCUGGAGGCCUUGCUCCUCAGCAGCAUAGGCAACACGUCCCUCCAACCUGACAGCCACAACCUGCAAGACUGAGGCAUUGCUAUAAGAUGAGAAAAAGUCACAGGACCAGCACAAGAGAAGGACAGUAUAUUAUAUACUUACCCUUCUGGAAAGGAAUGGUUGUAUAUUAUUUACUACCCUAUCUCCCUGUUACUUCUUCCCCCUCCAUCCUUCAGUGAAACACUGUUCUAAUAUUUGAGUUCAUUUGUCAUUUAGAAGUGGGAAUUAUUAGUUUACUUCAUUUUAUAUUUCUCAUUGGUAUAUAUUUAAGCUGGUGUUUACUAGAAACUCCUGAAGUUUGAACCCAGCCCUUUUUGCUGUCAGUAAAAGCAUGACAGAAGGGUUGUAUUCCUCCAUCUUCAUAAUAAAUAUGGUAUUUCCUGAAAUAUUUUGCAGUUAAUGUUUGGAUAUUAAGCCCUAAUAAAUACUCAGAAAAGUGUGAGAUGUUCUGUAUGCAGACAUGUACUUCCAUAUACUGCAGACCAUGAUUGUAUGUUAAAAUUUGUUCUUAUUCAAGUUUUAUGUGCCUAUACCACUUUUCUAACUACAGCUUGAAUACAUGCUCUAGUUAUUUCUAUAAAAUGUAAGGUUAUUACUCACCUCGCAGUUGUUUAAAGCACCCAACAUUAUGUUAAAUGCCUCUGCUGUACUCAAAAGAGUGAGUCGUCUUUCAGUGAAGACUUCAUACCAUCUAGAAUGAGGCACUAGAAAGACACCAAGUGAUGACUUACUGUGCUAGCAAUGUGUGAAAACAUACCUGGUUCAAAUUUUCCCUUAACACUCCUAUCUGUACACUCUGUGUACUUCACAUAUAGACCCUGAAAUAUAAACCUCACAUUGUGGUUUUCAGUGGUCAUCAAGAUCUUAAUUUGUAGAGCUGUAUUUCUGUAAAGGCCUCUACCAUGUACUAAUCUCACAGCAGAGAAUACUUGUCUGUUAUUUAGAUCACCAUACUUUUCUAGCCCAUUUUCCAAUGUCAAAGUUUCUAAGUAAUUAUCUGUUACUUCAAAUAAUAUAAAAAUAGGAUGUCAUUACCGUUAAGCAUCAACUGCAAGGAUUUAAUUUUAAACCAUUUCUCCUUCCCCUGACUGAAGAAAUUCCCCUGCAUCAUUUUUAACCUUUCAUCAGCAUAAUUGCUAAAUAAUUAACAAUGGUUAAAUGAUGAGAACCUGAGAGAUUUGAAAAUUAUUACUGAAGUAUGUAUUUCACGGGAGCAAUGACCUAUAUGAAUUUGUUUUGAAGUAAAAGCAAUGUAUAUUCAAUAGUAGCGUGCAAGAUGUUCUGAUAUAUGUGCUUAUGCCUUAGCCACCUCCAGCUGCUCUGGUCCUACAUCAAGGCAUAAAGACCCAUCUCACUGCACUAAUUGUGUGCUGAGGCUGAGCUCUACUUCUCCAAGGUUAUUUUAGAAUGCUUUGCAGUGUCUUCAUUUCCACUAAUACGAAUUACUUAUUCCACAGAAAAAGCCAUGAAAACCAUGUAAAGGCUCUAUAAUCCUUUUCUACUUUGUAGCAUAUAUUAUUUCCUUGCUUCUGUUAGCUGAGCUGAUUAAAAUUCUGAGUUUUUCUGCAGUUUCUCCACUCUUCUCAAUAAGCUCCAUGUGCUGAUUUUGGAUAUUCCUUUUAUACACUCUUUAGGAAAUGAUAGUUGUCAGCCUCGCCGCCUGUCCCAUUUCUGUGAGUCAUCGGGAUUUACUCACUCUCCUUUGCCUCCUAACUUGGCUAUGCUUAGAAACAGCACACAAAUUUGCUGGGAUCCUGGUGACCUGCUAAUCUAGGUGCCAUCAACACGUGGGGCCUCAUGUCCUCUCGUGUCCUUUGUUCCAGCCGCUCCCAUUCAUUCUCCCCUUACCGCAAUCUUAAUAUUUGUACUACAAUUCUCUGCAUAACAAGGGUAGGAAUACGGGGAGGAACUGGAGGUAUUCAUCAGUGGGGGAGGAGAGCAAGGGUAGGAGAA